rnacentral:rRNA from 1 species
CCUACGGGAGGCAGCAGUGGGGGAUAUUGCACAAUGGGGGGAACCCUGAUGCAGCGACGCCGCGUGGGUGAAGAAGCGCCUCGGCGCGUAAAGCCCUGUCAGCAGGGAAGAAAAUGACGGUACCUGAAGAAGAAGCCCCGGCUAACUACGUGCCAGCAGCCGCGGUAAUACGUAGGGGGCAAGAGUUAUCCGGAUUUACUGGGUGUAGAGGGGGCGCAGACGGCGAUGCAAGUCAGGAGUGAAAGACCGGGGCGCAACCCCGGGACUGCUCUUGGAACUGCGGGGCUGGAGUGCAGGAGGGGCAGGCGGAAUUCCUGGUGUAGCGGUGGAAUGCGUAGAUAUCAGGAGGAACACCGGUGGCGAAGGCGACCUGCUGGACUGCAACUGACGUUGAGGCCCGAAAGCGUGGGGAGCAAACAGGAUUAGAUACCCGAGUAGUC